ACGGGAGGCAGCAGUGAGGAAUAUUGGUCAAUGGUCGGAAGACUGAACCAGCCAAGUCGCGUGCAGGAAGACGGUCCUAUGGAUUGUAAACUGCUUUUGUACGGGAAUAAAGUGCGGGACGUGUCCCGUUUGGAAUGUACCGUAAGAAUAAGGGUCGGCUAACUCCGUGCCAGCAGCCGCGGUAAUACGGAGGACCCGAGCGUUAUCCGGAUUUAUUGGGUUUAAAGGGAGCGUAGGCGGCCUGUUAAGUCUGCGGUCAAAUGUCAGGGCCCAACCUUGGCAUGCCGUGGAUACUGGCGGGCUUGAGUGCACACAAGGAAGGUGGAAUUCGUCGUGUAGCGGUGAAAUGCUUAGAUAUGACGAAGAACUCCGAUUGCGAAGGCAGCCUUCUGGGGUGUUACUGACGCUGAGGCUCGAAAGUGCGGGAAUCAAACAGGAUUAGAUACCCUGGUA
rnacentral:rRNA from 1 species